CUUACCUCUUGUUGUGUAACACUUCAAAAUGGCGGCGACCCUUGCUCUUCUCGCUGCGCCAUAACCUCAUUUACACAACACGUAGGCAGUCUUGGUUUUAUUUCCUUAUUGUUGUCAAACGCUUCCUGUUUAGAGUAUUUUUUGAAAACUCGUUCCAAUUUUUUUGUUGAAAUUUUGUACUAAAAAUGGACAAAACAUUUGCAUAAUCUAAAACAUUUUAUUUCAUAUAGCUGACCGCUUGUUCCUACUUGCAGGGAAUUGCAGAGAAUCUUUGUGCACACAAUUGAAGAGAAUAUGUCCUCUUUAAACAAUUAAAAAAUGCAUGUAUUUUUAAUUAAAUGAUAUAUAACAUCACUGAUAAGAUUAGAGAAAUUGUUCAAUUUUCCCCAGUUUUUAUAAACCAGAUCAUACAUGUACAUUGCAAUUUAUAAAAUAAAUAAUCUUUCAUUCAGAACGAAAACAAAGUUUUCUCAAAAUGAUUAUUCCAAAUUCCAUAAAAACAAGGAACACACUCAUUAUAUACCAAGUGGCCAAAUCCUUAAUCAUCACAAGACUGUUUUUCAGAUAAGUUGUUUUUCAUAGAGGACAAAGACGUUAAGAGUACACAGGAAGGAAACACCAGAUGAAACAGUCACACCAAACAUUGGGAAUCAAAUUCAUGACAAAACACGGAUCAAGGAAAACACUUGCGGUAGGAUCAGGUGCCAAGGCGGAGUAAGCAUCCCUUACAUUCAUUAUGGGUACAAUGAUAGGUGGUCGGAUUUCUCCAAAGUCAAAUGCAGCAUUCAACAAAGGCCUAACAAUUGGUAUACAAAACGUCAGUUAAAUUUGACAAAUGGUAGGGUUUAAUUACAAAAAAAAAAUCAUUAUAACGAUCAUAGAGUUUUCUUAAUGCUGAAUCUUAAACGAGCUUGGUCUAAUCUUUUUAACAAAAUUCAUUUCUAAAAAGCUUGCUUCUGUGAUAAAAUUGGUCUUUCUAAGAGCAUGCUCUUGCGUACCGAAUCUGUCGGAAGACAUAAUCACUACAUUUUGGUGAAGUAGGAAUAUUACAGAAAGCUGAAAAUGGAAUUGCUAAGUCAGCCCGUUCGUCAUACAGUUUAUUUAUCAGUUGUUCAUUAUUGUCUAUUAUCAAUCAACCAUCCAAAUAUCAAACAGAUAUAAAUGCAUCUGAAUGCUUUUUUUUUUCAAAUUUUGAGUUCAUUUGGAAAUGUCAAAUCGAUAUAUGAAUGAAAGAGGAGAAGAUGACUAACAGUGAUCUAUCCUAAGAAAUCUAUUUACAAUAAACAUCUGCGAAUAGGGCAUGAAACACAGAUUCUUGGAAAUUUCUGAUUUUGAAGACUCUUAUCUGAGAAUCUAUUGGAAUUCCCAUGGGUACCAAUUGCGCUCCGUUAUUAGAAGACCUAAUUUUGUAUUCAUAUGAAGCAGAAUUUGUGCAAAAUCUUAUGCGUGAAAAAAAACUUACUGUGGCCUUCAACUCAACAUUUAGAAAUAUCGACGACGCAUUGUCAAUGAACAAUUGUAAUUUCCAUUCCUUUGUCAAAACGAUAAAUCCUGGUGAGCUUGAGAUAAAUGAUACCAUAGAAUCUGACACAUCUGUUUCAUACUUGGAUAUUCUACUUGAAAAAGACGUUAAAGUUAAUCUAACAGCCAAGGUCUAUGAUAAACGUGAUGACUUUAACCUUUUUUUUGUCGUCAAUUUCCCUUAUUUAUGCAGCAAUAUACCAUCAUCACCUGUAUCUGGAGUUUAUAUAUCUCAUCUGAUUCUAUACACAAGAGCAUGCUCUGCGUAUGAACAAUUUCUAAAACGUAAAUUAUUGACAAACAAGUAGAUGAAGAAAGAAUAUCAGUAGUCUCGUUUAAAGUCAUCAUUUCGUAAGUUCUAUGGUCGAUACAAUGACCUUGUCAGCAAAUACAAUUUAUCAUUGAGUCAAAUGCUGACUGACCUUUUUCAUACUAAUUGUUAGUCCAUUAUUUUUUAUAAUUGAUUGACGACGGAUUUUUCCGUUAUUUCCCGAUCAUGACAAGGAGCACACGUGACCCGUCGGCAGGGGAUGCUCAUCUCUCCAUGGCACCUGAUCCCACCUCUGAUGUUUUGGAGGUCCGUGUUUGCUCUGCUCGCUCCUAUUUUGUAUUGUUUUAUGGACUUUGAUAUCGAAUACUGUUCGUUAUCUCCAUAUCCUUCAUCAUUAUAAAAUGAACUGCAAGUGUAAGUUUAAUUUUCGAGAUUAGAGUUAAACUUAAGUUCUUACAAGCUGUGUCAGCAUGUCCGUAACAUAUUGUGUAUGUGGUCUUUCUAAUUCCUGAUCGCCUCCAAAUCAUUAUAAAGAAUAGCUGGUUCACAUAUAGCCUUAAAAAUUUCUAAUAAGAUUUCUUUUUAUUUUUAAAUUAUUUAAUCAAAUCGUACAAAAUAUUCAGAUCUUUCUUUUUAUAUUUUGUUCAACGCCUUGCAUAGUUUUUAACAGAAUUCAUGUUAAAAAAUAAAGUUCAGUCUUCAGUUGAAGAUCGGAACUCCUCGUAUUCAGGACUUUUUAAGAAGGUGGCUUUCAGGUCCUGAAUUUCAACAAUGUUGACAUCACAAGAUAUGAUGUAUUCAACGAAACUGUGGUUGAAAGAAGGAAAGUGCAAGAACCCUUAACGUAAGAAGAUUUUUAGUUUAGAUUUUCAAUAUCUUGCUAGGCACUGUAAGGUAUGUUUACUGAAAUGUUUGGAUGAAAUUUGUUAAUGAAAGUAUUAUUUACAGAUAAAACUUUCCGUCUUUACAUCAUAAUAUUGGAUCUGCAAACUUUUUUCUCUUAUAGAAGUCUUUCAAUAAAUUCUGCAUCAUAGAAAUAUGAAAACAGAUCGACUUCAAAGGAGCAGAAUUAGUGCUCAAGGAAAUUCCAGCAGAUUUUUGAAAAACUGGCCUGGGGGCCAUAAAACUUAGACGAGAUCUCUUCUGAUAUCAGUCUCACUUUUCCGCUAUAUUAUUUCUUUUGGUAAAAGUGAGCACGUUUUUGGCUCCAGGCAUGGUCUCAAAAAACUCCAUCAAUAUUUAUUAUAUUUGAUUUUUCAUUAUCUAGCCGAUGUACUGGCGUUUUGAUUAACUUUCGUCUGGUUCUCAAGCUUUUCGAAAUACAUGUCUAAUAAUCAUGCAGCGGUUAUUUUUAUAAAAAGAUGUAAGACUGCUUUUGCUACCUCAUUGUCUUUGAACACAUCAUAGCCUCUAUUAUAGCAUAUUUAUUUUUUUCUUUAAAAGCAACCUGCAGUUAACCCUGCUGCGUAAACCAUCUACACGUGGAGAAAUUAUUCUUAAACUAAAAAGCCAUAUAAAAUACAAUUGUGAAAAUAUAUACCCCUGGGCAUGUACACAUUUCUUUUAAAAGGUAACGAGAAUCUCGGAAUUCAUUGUUCUGUCACCUGCAACAGGCAAAAAUAUAGUUCACUCAUACAUCUAGUACUUUCUUUUUCCCCAAAUGUGUGCAUGUUAGUUAUAAAAGUUUUAUCAUCAGACAAAAGAAUUUUGAAAAAAUAGAUUCUUUUUUAAAUCAUAUAGUCUCUAGAAUAAUAUUGAGAAUCCUAUAAGUGCAAAUUAAAAGCUGCUUGACUGCUUGAAAAACAAGAGGCUACUGGUAGUAAGUUCAACUAUGAUACCAGCUGUCUUCUUCACUCUCGGAAACUUCUUAAGAAAUUUUUAUCACGGCCAUUUGGGUAGUGCAGAUUAAAGUUGCUAUUUAAUACAUGUCUUUGCUCGAAUGAUGCGUAUUUUAUAAUACUCGGAAACCUGAUAUUCCACCUUUUGAAUAAUGUCACACGCACAUUUGAAACACAGUAGAUCGUAAGUAACCACAAAAACAUUGCUUCAUGGUUUGGGCAUUAUUUAAUUGGCAUUGUGUAGAUUUUAUCGCUUUUCAAAGGAAAGAUCACUUGCAUGCAUCUGGAAUUUUAUGAAAGAAUUGAUGCUAUGACUUUGCAUUAUUUGCAAUGCAAGAUGUAAACUAACUCCUGAAUUUACAUGCCCCAUUUAAGUCAACAUCU